AUUGAACGCUGGCGGCAGGCCUAACACAUGCAAGUCGAGCGGCAGCGGAAGGAAGCUUGCUUCCUUGCCGGCGAGCGGCGGACGGGUGAGUAAGGUAUGGGGAUCUGGCCGAAGGCGGGGGGUAACCACUGGAAACGGUGGCUAAUACCGCAUAAUCUCUAAGGAGCAAAGUGGGGGACCGUUCAGGCCUCACACCUUCGGAUGAACCCAUAUGAGAUUAGCUAGUAGGUGGGGUAAUGGCUCACCUAGGCGACGAUCUCUAGCUGGUCUGAGAGGAUGAUCAGCCACACUGGGACUGAGACACGGCCCAGACUCCUACGGGAGGCAGCAGUGGGGAAUAUUGCACAAUGGGCGCAAGCCUGAUGCAGCCAUGCCGCGUGUAUGAAGAAGGCCUUCAGGUUGUAAAGUACUUUCAGUCGUGAGGAAGGUGUUAAGGUUAAUAACCUUAGCAAUUGACGUUAGCGACAGAAGAAGCACCGGCUAACUCCGUGCCAGCCGCCGCAGUAA
rnacentral:rRNA from 1 species